rnacentral:lncRNA from 1 species
GGCUAAUUUUUUUGUAUUUUUAGUAGAGAUGAGGUUUCACCGUGUUAACCAGGAUGGUCUUGAUCUCCUGACCUCGUGAUCCACCUGUCUCGGCCUCCCAAAGUGCUGGGAUUACAGGAGUGAGCCACCGUGCCCCUCCUCCUUUACUUUCUUAAUAAACUUGCUUUCACUUCACACUGUGGCAUCACCCUGAAUUCUUUCUUGCACAAGAUCCAAGAACCCUCUCUUGGGGUCUAGAUUGGGACCCCUUUCCUGUAACUAUCAUGCUACUGCACUCCAGCCUGGGCAACAGAGCAAGGCCCUGUCUCAAAAAAAAAAAAAAAAAAGGAACAUGACUUAAUACAUUCAUUUUGGAGGGUAAGUCUCUCAAAAUAGGCCUUUCACUGGGGGAAAAUGGUAAAAAUACUCCCUGGUAAUUCAAGAAUUGGAGACUCCUGAGAUGCUGCUCAUAUUAGCUGAGCACUUAUCAAUACUUCACUUUUUUCCAUAUAUACUCAAGGAACAAGUGCUAUUUAAAGUGUUUCACUCCACUGUGCUAGGUGCAAGACUAUAAAGAGGUGUGAGGAUCAACACUUUUAUGAAAACCAGUGUCAUUCUGGAUAUAGUUUCAGAUGCUAGUGCAAAGGAAGCUCUUGGUAUACGGAAAAAGUAUUCAACAAUAAAUUAGGCAUGGUUGCUUCCAUUUUCUGCCUCACAUACUUUUUUUUUCGUGGUUGAAGUGAUAUAAUGUCUAUGAUAUUUUAGAUUGGCAGUUGCAAACUAGUGGUCCUCAGCGUGCUUUUUAUGACACCUACAAGGUCUGAAGACUUUGAUUUCAUAUUAAAAAUCUGGGUUUCAGGCUGGGUGUGGUGUUGCAUGCCUGUAAUCCCAGCACUUUGGGAGGCUGAGGCAGGAGAAUCGCUUGAACCAGGGAGGUGGAGGUUGCAGUGAGCCAAGAUCGCGCCACUGCACUCAAGCUUAGGCAAUAGAGCAAGACUCCAUCUCAAAAAAUGAAUAAAUAAAUAAAUAAAAUCUGGGUUUCAGGCCAGGUGUGGUGGUGCACUCCUGCAAUCCCAGCACUUUGGGAGGCUGAGAUGGGCAGACAGCUUGACCUCAGGAAUUCCAGACUAGCCUGGGCAACGUGGCGAAACCCCAUGUCUACAAAUAAUACAAAAAAAUUAGCUGGGUGUAGUGGAGUGUGCCUGUAAUCCCAGCAACGUGGGAGGCUGAAGUGAGAGGAUUGCUUGAGCCUGGGAGGUUGAUGUUACAGUGAGCUGAGAUCGCCCUCCUACACUCCAACCUGGGCAACAGAGCCAGACCUUGUCUUAAAAAAA